GUCUUUCCAGUCUGGCCGGGCGGGGGCCGCACGCUCAGCGCCUCGGGUCGUGGGACCGUGGUCACGCCCUUUCCAGAAAUUCUUGGCUGGUAACCGCGAAACUGACGAGCAGGAGCUGGGAGAACUGGAGAAAACUGCCUUAAUCUUACUUGACUCCAGCUGGGAGCAGACCCUGCAUUGUAAUAACCAACAUUGCAAAGUGCUCUCACAGGCUUUGGAGUGACGCGUCUUGGAUUUCUCCAGCCGUGAGUCCUUUGCUGAAGCCAUUUCCCAGCCCAUGGCCUCAUGACCAGGUGGAUGGUACUCCUUGUUCCUGUGACCCAGAACCCUGGCUGACCACAUUGAAGGAGAAUGCUUCAGCAGGUCAGUGGCCACAAUCCGGGCUCUGAUGCCCAAGGCAGGCAAACCCUCAGAGAAGACCUGCAGGAGUUCCUGGG